GACGAACGCUGGCGGCGUGCUUAACACAUGCAAGUCGAGCGGUAAGGUCCUUUCGGGGGUACACGAGCGGCGAACGGGUGAGUAACACGUGGGUGACCUGCCCUUAGCUCUGGGAUAAGCCUGGGAAACUGGGUCUAAUACCGGAUAUGACUCCAUGACGCAUGUUGUGGGGUGGAAAGCCUUGUGCGGCUAGGGAUGGGCCUGCGGCCUAUCAGCUUGUUGGUGGGGUGAUGGCCUACCAAGGCGACGACGGGUAGCCGGCCUGAGAGGGCGACCGGCCACACUGGGACUGAGACACGGCCCAGACUCCUACGGGAGGCAGCAGUGGGGAAUCUUGCGCAAUGGGCGAAAGCCUGACGCAGCGACGCCGCGUGGGGAUGACGGCCUGUGU
rnacentral:rRNA from 1 species